rnacentral:lncRNA from 1 species
AGCAAGACCUACUAUAUCCAUGUGAAUUAUGCCCCCUAUCUCUAGGAAUAUGAAGGAAGAAACUCUUUCAUUAUUGUUAUUGAUUACUAAUAAUAAUGCAAUCCAUGGCACAGUCAAAAAAAAAAAAAGGAAUUCUGAACGAAGGCUAAUGAUAAACCAAUCCAAUAACCCCACCCAUAACAAGUUCAUAUAUGAUUAUUUAGAAACAUUAAGUACAAGCAAGAUACGCAGUUACUUUCUUGUAAUUCUCAAGAGAAUUCAAUUAAUGGAACUUGUCGGAAUAGUAAGACCUAUCAUUUCUUUUGUUGUUCUUCAU